UCCCUCUUAGCUCAGUGGUAGAGCGCGUCACUAGUAUAUGCUCCAUUUUCAUGAUGACGAGGUCAGUCGUUCAAGUCGGCUAGAGGGAA